AUGCACAGAGCUCUCACAGUGUUCCAGGCACUAAGCAUUUGCUAGGCACAUCAGCCAUUGACAGACAUUGGCUGUUCAUUGGGAUCGGAACUCUAGUUUGCUUCAUUCCUACUUCACAACUGCCAUAGCCAGUGGUCACAGGAAAGGCUCUUCCCAACGAAAAAUCAAAAGUAGGGUCUCCCUCUGAUGCCGAGCCAAGGCUGGACGGUGCUGCUGCCAUCUCGGCUCACUGCAGCCUCCCUGCCUGAUUCUCCUGCCUCAGCCUGCUGAGUGCCUGCGAUUGCAGGCGCACGCCGCCACGCCUGACUGGUUUUCGUUUUUUUUUUGGUGGAGACGGGGUUUUGCUGUGUUGGCCGGGCUGGUCUCCAGCUCCUAGCCGCGAGUGAUCCGCCAGCCUCGGCCUCCCGGGGUGCCGGGAUUGCGGACGGAGUCUCGUUCACUCAGUGCUCAGUGGUGCCCAGGCUGGAGUGCAGUGGCGUGAUCUCGGCUCGCUACAGCCUCCACCUCCCAGCCGCCUGCCUUGGCCCCCCAAAGUGCCGAGAUUGCAGCCUCUGCCCAGCCGCCACCCCGUCUGGGAAGUGAGGAGCGUCUCUGCUUGGCCACCCAUCGUCUGGGAUAUGAGGAGCCUCUCUGCCUGGCUGCCCAGUCUGGAAAGUGAGGAGCGUCUCUGCCCGGCCGCCAUCCCAUCUAGGAAGCGAGGAGCGCCUCUUCCCCGCCGCCAUCCCAUCUAGGAAGUGAGGAGCGUCUCUGCCCGGCCGCCCAUCGUCUGAGAUGUGGGGAGCACCUCUGCCCCGCCGCCCUGUCUGGGAUGUGAGGAGCGCCUCUGCUGGCCGCAACCCUGUCUGGGAGGUGAAGAGCGUCUCUGCCCGGCCGCCCCGUCUGAGAAGUGAGGAAACCCUCUGCCUGGCAACCGCCCCGUCUGAGAAGUGAGGAGCCCCUCCGUCUGGCAGCCACCCCGUCUGGGAAGUGAGGAGCGUCUCCGCCCGGCAGCCACCCCGUCCGGGAGGGAGGUGGGGGGGGUCAGCCCCCCGCCCGGCCAGCCGCCCAGUCCGGGAGGGAGGUGGGGGGAUCAGCCCCCCGCCCGGCCAGCCGCCCCGUCCGGGAGGGAGGUGGGGGGGUCAGCCCCCCGCCUGGCCAGCCGCCCCAUCCGGGAGGGAGGUGGGGGGUCAGCCCCCCACCUGGCCAGCCGCCCCGUCCGGGAGGGAGGUGGGGGGGGUCAGCCCCCCGCCCGGCCAGCCGCCCCGUCCGGGAGGGAGGUGGGGGGAUCAGCCCCCCGCCUGGCCAGCCGCCCCGUCCGGGAGGUGAGGGGCGCCUCUGCCCGGCCGCCCCUACUGGGAAGUGAGGAGCCCCUCUGCCUGGCCAGCCGCCCCGUCCGGGAGGAUGGUGGGGGGGUCAGCCCCCCGCCCGGCCAGCCGCCCCAUCCGGGAGGUGAGGGGCGCUUCUGCCCGGCCGCCCCUACUGGGAAGUGAGGAGCCCCUCUGCCCGGCCACGACCCCGUAUGGGAGAUGUGCCCAGCGGCUCAUUGGGGAUGGGCCAUGAUGACAAUGGCGGUUUUGUGGAAUAGAAAGGCGGGAAGGGUGGGGAAAAAAUUGAGAAAUCAGAUGGUUGCCGGGUCUGUGUGGAUAGAAGUAGACAUGGGAGACUUUUCAUUUUGUUCUGUACUAAGAAAAAUUCUUCUGCCUUGGGAUCCUGUUGAUCUGUGACCUUAUCCCCAACCCUGUGCUCUCUGAAACAUGUGCUGUGUCCACUCAGGGUUAAAUGGAUUAAGGGCGGUGCAAGAUGUGCUUUGUUAAACAGAUGCUUGAAGGCAGCAUGCUCGUUAAGAGUCAUCACCACUCCCUAAUCUUAAGUACCCAGGGACACAAACACUGCGGAAGGCCGCAGGGUCCUCUGCCUAGGAAAACCAGAGACCUUUGUUCACUUGUUUAUCUGCUGACCUUCCCUCCACUAUUGUCCUAUGACCCUGCCAAAUCCCCCUCUGCGAGAAACACCCAAGAAUGAUCAAUAAAAAAAAAAAAUAAAAAAUAAAA
rnacentral:lncRNA from 1 species